UUCUCGAUCGCAGACUGCGAUUUACCCCUCCCUUUUUCCGAUCAGAUUUCCGGCCACCAAACCGACGAAACUAGGUGGCGAUCGACUUCCUGGACACUGGCGAUCUCAGUUCCGGCCUCCCUUUCGCCGAUUGGAGCUUGACUAGGACGAAUAGAUGCUCUCUCUCCUGUGGUGACGCUAGCCUCGUCCGACCCGCUUUUACGACUUCCGGCGAGUCCCAAUCGGCAAGACUGCUAUUGGUAUGCUCCUCUUUUGCCGCUGACUAUUUCCUUCUCACCAAACAGACCUCCAAUAGCGGUGAAUUCGUUCCCGGGCCUUGUACACACCGCCCGUCACACUAUGGGAGCUGGCCAUGCCCGAAGGCGCAAAUCGAAGCUGUGAGGAUUAGAUAGCUUCCCUUCUUCGAUUUUCCGGCGAGCCAACCUCUUUCCGGUAGUUUCUUUCACUUAGGUAAAUCGAAAGCUAGUCAUUUCUGCUUCUACUCAGUAUUCUUUAGAUUAGUUUAGCUUUAGGCUUAGAAAUUGAAGGACUUUGAAAUGUUAGGUUUUGAAGUUGUGAAAUUUGAGGAUUUGUUACAAUAUGGUAUUUUCUUUAGAGUUUGAUCACAAAAUUGAACUCCUUAUAAAUCUUGCUUUGGUUUGAUGUAUGAUGGUGAGAUUUUGGGCCUGCCACCCCUCCGGCCACUGUGGACGUUGACGGUGGCCGGCGUCACUCUGCUGACCUAAAUAGUCCCGAAUAGGCAGAAUGUUGGAUUUGUCAUGUGGAUUCCGAAUAUGCAAUUAGAAUUGCAACCUGACCUCGAUUAAUAGUUAAAUCAGAAUGUUGUAUUGCAUUACUGACCUGUUACAAGGUAGCUAAUAAUCAGAAACUACAUAGAAUUGUUUAGCUACUUAAUUCCAGAUAUGUGGAAACAGAGUUAGUAAACUAAGAAUAGUUAAUAAACUAAGAAGUAUUGCAAAUUUGGUACACAGGCUUCUAAGCUGAAAAAUCGCAGAAAUGGAUGAAAUAGUAGUUAGCGAGACCUUAGAAAGACUUAGUUAGUUAAUGAGAUAAUUGUUAAUUUAGUUUGACUAGAAUCGAUUACUGUUGUGAGUUAAAGUUGAGGAAGUUUUAGUUCUAUAUAAAUAUAACCUUGAACUUUAAUACCUCCCAAGUAUAAAUUAUAAACCUAAGAACAAGUAACUACUCUUCUUAAUUAAAAUGCAAUUUAGUUAUUAGUAAAAGAAUGUACUAACAUGUAGCUCAAAUAUGGAUGAGUUGAGCUGUUCACUAUAAGGGAAAAAUAACUAUUUGUGGUUUUUUUAUGUUGAUAAUGUAAUUAUAUAGCGUUUUGAUAAACUAAGAAUAUGAUGUUAGUUGGUAUUGAUUAUGAAUUGAGUAAAUGUUUAGAUGAAUGAAUAAUGGUUAUGGCGGAUGAGAUUAGUUGUUGUGAAUUGCCCGAUGGAUGGGCUUUAAGAAUAUAUUAUUGAAUUGUAGUUUUAAGCAGAUGGUUUCAUCCAAUUUUUAGGGGAGGUUUUGCCGAAAUUUUGACAUAAUCUAGAUUAGUUUUACUUGUAAAUAGGUUGUAAGAUUUAUUUAGGAUAAUCCUUUAUUAUUAUUUAGGAGAAUGUUUUAUUUAAUUUUUUCCUCUCCUUCCAAUUUCAUUUCAUUAGAAUCACUUUAGUUCCUCAUGGCUCCAACAAGUUAGAAUCCAAAUUAUGGCUUUCCUCAUCCAUCAUUGUAAAUAAUAAUAAACAGUACAUACUAUUUGCAUUAUACGUAAAUCAUUAUUAUAUAACGCUUUGUCUAUUUAUUUAUUUAUUUUCCAAGUACCAAUUAUUAUAUUAGCAUUUGUUGCUUUUAUGUUUAUUUGUAUUUGCAUAUGAAUGUCUAUUUGUGCACUUGCAUUAUAGUAUUUAAUUGUUUGAUGUACUUGCAUUUAAUUGUACUUCUUGAUUACAUGUGUUGUGAUAAUGAUGUGCAUUGUUUGUGUGGAAUUAAGAUGAAGUGGGUCACUGUAGGUUUCUGAGGGCGGUCUAUGAUACCAUCGGCCAUGUAUAGGGAGAUCGGCGCCCCCGUGUGCAUUUGAUUAUAUAUAUUAUAUAGAAAACCUCGGGGUGGCCUCCUGUUGGUAAUGGAAAAGAAAAGAGGGAAUAGAUAAAUAUUGAGAGGGCUGGUCAAGUGAGGAUUAGAUCGGUCGGCCAUUUAUGGGGGGAUCGGCUCCCUGGUGCAUAUGUUAUGAGGGGAUGCGCCAUGUGUGAGGACGGCUUGUCCAGGGUUUUGGUGAUCUACAGACCAAUCUCCAUUUGUUUGAUUAUGUGAAGAUGAUAUUGUUUGUGGCUGCUGUUGAUAUGUCAUGUGUGUGUUUAAAUGAAUGUUCACUUUUAGAAUACCUAGGAGCAUGUUGUGUGACUAUAUGAGCAUGUAUUAUUUGGUAUUAUGCACUGAAUUGAGAUACUCAUUUCCGCUUCACUUAAUUUCUUUCAAGAAUCUUGGUUACUGCCUCUAUAUUAGCCAGAAGCUCUGUAUCCUUUCCUCUAUAGAGCUAGGUAGAAUAAAGUUUAGUUGAAUUAUAGGCUCUUCUUAACUGAAUUUUCUUAUUAUUGUAUAUUUUGUGGAGAUCCGCAAAUUACAUUAGGAAAGUAAUACAUGUAAUAAGAUAUCCAAAAAUAUCUGAUCUCGAGGAAUAAUUAUUUGAAAAUUGUGAAUGAAACAUAGUGCUGAAUAUUGUCGGGCAAGUUCCAUAGAUGCUUUUAUGAAUGCUGAUGGAUUGAUCAUAAAACAAGCCCGGGUUAUUAAUAAUUGUCGAAUGAUGGUGAUGAUAUAUCGAAUUGGGCCUUGGUUUUCAGGUAUAUAUAUUCAUAUAGAGUUUGUGUUGUGAAUACCCUUAUUGGACUUAAUGGAUAUUACUGGUGUCAAAGGUUUAUUACGGAUUUCGGUGGCCUUAAGUUUACUUGGGCUUUAGUGUCAGUCUGGCCCAUGGCAAUGGAUCGUG
rnacentral:lncRNA from 1 species